UGGCUCUCGCAUCGAUGAAGAACGCAGCGAAAUGCGAUAAGUAAUGUGAAUUGCAGAAUUCAGUGAAUCAUCGAAUCUUUGAACGCACCUUGCGCUCCUUGGUAUUCCGAGGAGCAUGCCUGUUUGAGUGUCAUGAAAUUCUCAACUGCCCCAGGCUUUGUGGCCUGCAGGUGAAGUUGGACUUGGAGGUAUGCUGGCGCAUGAAUGGGCUUUGUGGCCCUGCCUUGCUUGUUGGCUCCUCUCGAAUGCAUGAGCUUUCCAAUCCUUGGCAAAGUAUCGUCGAUGUGAUAAUUGUCUACGUCGCCCGAGAAAGCCGAAAGGGGAAAUCUUUGAUCACGCCAGGGUGACCUGCGUCUGACAAAUUCGACCUCAAAUCAGGUAGGACUACCCGCUGA
rnacentral:misc_RNA from 1 species